rnacentral:lncRNA from 1 species
GGGAAUGACUGGUUUAUUCAAUGAAACAAGCUUUGGCUAUUAAAUAGCCUUUACAAUCCUAACAACCUACAUCUUAGCUAAUUGAGACGUGAUAAUCAACAGAAGAAAGAGUCAAAUAACAAAUGACUUCCCUAUUCAACAGGGAUUAUUCAAAACAGAAAAUAUAACUUCAACUGAAACACUUGUUAACUCAACAAAUGGUAAGAACAUUUCCUAAACCCUCAACUUUAUCAAUUCAACAGCACUUUCCUAAAACCAAUAUUCAAAGUCGCGUUGAGUUUGCCAAAAGGGUUUCCUGGGAUAGCACUUUCUAGAUUUGAGAUCGAAAAAAAAAUUGUUAUAUGUGUUCUUAAGUUUCGAGCAAGCGAGAGGGAAAAGAAGGCUUUUGAAUUCCAGGUGAGCGAGAGAAAAUUUGCACAGGAGAAGAACACAAGAAAAUAGAAAAUCAGAGAAAGCAAAUGAUCCGUUGAUUUCCUUUUCAUUUCUUCAUUUUAGAUAGAGAAACAAAAGCGAGAAAGAGAGUCUCGAGUGGUCGGGAGGAAG